rnacentral:lncRNA from 1 species
GAAUGCAAGAGACAGCGACCAGGCUCGUGUGAAGGGCUGUCGCUAUGACAUCACAAGGUGUCUCUCUGCCUCGGUCAGCACAGGUCCGGCCCUGGGGCCCCUGGGCCACGUGCUGCAGUGCGGACUCGCCGUCCUCUGGAAGGGAGGAAGUGCCGUGUUCUAUCCUUGCAACACGUCACACUUGGUUCAUUGCUCAGAAGUUCCACGUGAAACACUUGGCACGUCGGUAAUAAGGUGCCUAAGGAGAAGGCCACGUGUGCUAAGAGAAAUGUGGAACGAGACUCGGGUGAGCUUGGAUCCCACUUACUGGCCGCACACAGUGCGCAGUCGCUCAACCCAGGAGCCCUCUCCUGAACGAGGAAGCAGAACGUUUCCCUUCCCAAGGUCGCGCAUCCCAAAUUAUCCGGCUUCCAGUCCUACUGAGCAACAAAAGGAGACAGAUCAACGUAAAGCUCUUCCUCCAGAACAUGAAACAAGCAGCAGUGAACAUUUUAUCCGAUUCCCCCUUCCAGUCAUCUCACAACAACCUUUCAACGAUAAAUAACCAACUAGAACUCAGACAAGAUCUACCCGAGCAAGAGCAUCACCCCAGGACUCUGCUUUGUCACUACUUGAAUGAAGCUUGCUGUGAAACCAAGUGUGACCUCCAGGACAGACAGCAAAGGCAAGCAGGACAGGAAAAGGGCAGGUGAGGCAAGCACGGGGAAGGCUGUAGUCUGUGGUCCUGUCUGUACUGCUCAUGAGAAUUAUCCCAGGGCCUUGCAAGAAUUCUGGUGUCCAUGCUCCAGUGCAGACCAAGAAGUCAGAAUGUCUGAGUGUGGGGCCAGGUGAGAGUAGGUUGUAGCUCUUCCUGGUGAGUCCGCUGUGCAGCCAAAUGAGAGAAGCGCCUCCCCUAGUCAUGCAGAAGCCGGCUUGACCCUCAUGGGUGUCUUUUCUGUUAGAUAGAGUUUGGCAGGGAACUCAGAGCUGAGCUAAUGGCAGGACAGUGCAUCCAUUUCCUUAAAGGAUCCCAGGUGGAAGGUAAAAGAAAUGAUGACAGAGACUUCGGAUGAACAGGACUGUGAGGGAAUUGGAUGGGUGUUGGAGGAUCAAAGCAGACCUACUACUGGCUUCUCUGAGGAAACGAAACUGCAAACCAGGACAGAAAGACAGACUGCUCAGCCAUCCAAAUGACCCGAGCACAGUGAGGAAGUGGCAGUUUAGACAUCACACCCAGUUUGUUAUUCAGAACCAUGGGCUUGUUCGAAACCCACUCACUGCAGAAGCAUGAGAGUCAGCAUAGCUUGUGGUUCAACUUCACGGCAGAGCAAUUAGAGAUCCUAUAAUUGGAAUUAAGAAAAGGCACUUUUAAGUUUCAACAGGCAUUGUUAAAACUGCUCAACAAUACAAACUUCAGAACAGUAAAGACUAAUGAUUCUAUAUGAAAUAGAAUUCCAAUACUUCAAUAGUGUUUUUAAUCCCCCAAGCACAAAGGAUAUAGAUGCUAAUUGUUAAUAGUAAACCAGAGCUCCCACACACACAUUUUACAUGAUGAAUAACUCUAGAAAUCAGAGAGAACAGGCCAACAGAAGUACUUCACAAUUAAGCAGGAGCACCAGUAAGGGUCUGAAAAUGCUGAUUUCUACAAAGGGAGAACUGCAGACACAAACUGCAGAAUGAGCUAGACCAGCCAUGCCCUGGAGGUCGGAGCCCAGCU